CCUACGGGAGGCAGCAGUGGGGAAUAUUGCACAAUGGGCAAAAGCCUGAUGCAGCGACGCCGCGUGAGGGAUGACGGCCUUCGGGUUGUAAACCUCUUUCAGCAGGGAAGAAGCGCAAGUGACGGUACCUGCAGAAGAAGCACCGGCUAACUACGUGCCAGCAGCCGCGGUAAUACGUAGGGUGCGAGCGUUGUCCGGAAUUAUUGGGCGUAAAGAGCUCGUAGGCGGUCUGUCACGUCGGAUGUGAAAGCCCGGGGCUUAACCCCGGGUCUGCAUUCGAUACGGGCAGACUAGAGUGUGGUAGGGGAGAUCGGAAUUCCUGGUGUAGCGGUGAAAUGCGCAGAUAUCAGGAGGAACACCGGUGGUGAAGGCGGAUCUCUGGGCCAUUACUGACGCUGAGGAGCGAAAGCGUGGGGAGCGAACAGGAUUAGAUACCCUGGUAGUCCACGCCGUAAACGUUGGGAACUAGGUGUUGGCGACAUUCCACGUCGUCGGUGCCGCAGCUAACGCAUUAAGUUCCCCGCCUGGGGAGUACGGCCGCAAGGCUAAAACUCAAAGGAAUUGACGGCUGAGACGNGCGACGACGACGACGAGGGAGGAGG
rnacentral:rRNA from 1 species